rnacentral:rRNA from 1 species
UACGGAGGGUGCAAGCGUUAUCCGGAUUCACUGGGUUUAAAGGGUGCGUAGGAGGGCAGGUAAGUCAGUGGUGAAAUCCCUGAGCUUAACUUGGGAACUGCCGUUGAUACUAUCUGUCUUGAAUAUCGUGGAGGUGAGCGGAAUAUGUCAUGUAGCGGUGAAAUGCUUAGAUAUGACAUAGAACACCAAUUGCGAAGGCAGCUCGCUACACGAAUAUUGACUCUGAGGCACGAAAGCGUGGGGAUCAAACAGG